rnacentral:rRNA from 1 species
GUGGGGAAUCUUCCGCAAUGGACGAAAGUCUGACGGAGCAACGCCGCGUGAAGGAAGAAGGUCUUCGGAUCGUAAACUUCUAUCCUUGGUGAAGAUAAUGACGGUAGCCGAGAAGGAAGCCCCGGCUAACUACGUGCCAGCAGCCGCGGUAAUACGUAGGGGGCAAGCGUUGUCCGGAAUGAUUGGGCGUAAAGGGCGCGUAGGCGGCCUGGUAAGUCUGGAGUGAAAGUCCUGCUUUUAAGGUGGGAAUUGCUUUGGAUACUGUCGGGCUUGAGUGCAGGAGAGGUAAGUGGAAUUCCCGGUGUAGCGGUGAAAUGCGUAGAGAUCGGGAGGAACACCAGUGGCGAAGGCGACUUACUGGACUGUAACUGACGCUGAGGCGCGAAAGUGUGGGGAGCAAACAGGAUUAGAAACCCUAGUAGUCC